rnacentral:lncRNA from 1 species
GAAAAGAGGGUUCAGCAACAGGCUCUGAGUACCAGGCAGAUAGGCAGGCUCUGGGGCAGUUGAGGCUGAUUCACUGGGUGCUCUGGGGAGCUGUUGCUUUCCGUAGAGAUUUGCCACACAGAGCCCUUAAGUAGCCAGGCAACUCCUAAGGCUGCACAGAGGAGGAGACCUAUCACCCCACCUGAGCCAGGCAGCCCAGGAAAGCUGAGACUGGACUGGCCACAGCAACCUCCUUGGUUUGAUUGCAAGGCCCUGGUCUCCAUCUCUCUGAAGGUGUAGUAUGAUACAUCACUUAGUGUUCAGUCAAAUAUGUGAAUCAAAGUUAAGUACGGUGGGAGAAUUGUUUGAUAAGUUCAUGAACCUUUUCCCACCAAAUAAUCAAAGAGAUGACCCAGGGUCUCAUCAUUCAACCAAAAUAGGGAAUUACUGGUUUUUACAUUCACCUUGGGAGGUCGGAGAAAUGGACCACGCUGAUUAUCCACUCACUCGUCCAUUAAUUCAGAGGUUUAUUAAGUACCUACCAAGUACAUAAGAAUAUGCUAGGCUUUGUGGCAGCUGAGACAGAGAGAGAAGAUAAUAAUGCCUAGAAUGUUUGUUAUGCUGUACAACUUACAAAGACUUUUCACAUCAAUUACUUUUUCACAACCAAAGUGAGUACCCACAGCAAUGUGGUAAGGUCACAUUUAUAUUCUCAAAGUAUCUAGCCUGUGACCACUUUCUCCUGAGUGGUACUGCCAGGAUUAGAACACUCAAGGAGCUCACACUAGAGUUAGAAGAGGAAGAUAUAAAAAGAUCUGAAAUAACUUCAGGGUGACAUGAAAAUGAGGGCUUGAAAGCGUGAGCCAGAGGUAAAAUAAAAAAUAAGGAAAAGAUUGCUGGGUACUCAAGGCAAACUUGGUAAAGAAUAGCAUUUUGUGCUGGGAGUUUGACAGUUGACACAGCCUUGAAGGAAAUUAGAGAUUUGGACAGGGCUUCUGUCAUUUCCCUUUGUAAAUGGCAAAUGGUAUAGAGCUUCAGCAGAGGCUCUUCAGUGCCACCGAGCCGCAGAAUUAGGAGAAUUGCUCUUUUAGAUACUGGCCAUGUUGAACUGGGGGAGGGAGUCUGCUCACUGUAGAUAGCUCUGUAUCAUUGCAAAGGUGAAGAAACCAACAGAGAGAAGUUAAGAGAUUUCCCUCAUGAUACCCGAUUAGUAAAAGUGAUGCCAAGCCCAAUGACACUGUGGGCAGGAGGGCUCCAUCAUACCUGUGGUCCUCAGCCAUUUCCUAACCUUCCCCAUUUGCCAUAUCCUCACUUCACUUCAAAGACCAAUAUACGUAUUCUCUUUUUGUCUUGGCCUCAUAUACAGUUGAUGUCUGGUGGAAAAUGCACUAAGCCCCUCUUCUUGCCAUCUCAGCAUCUGUAGAACGACCAGUGAGCCCAGAAUCUCAAAGCAAGCAUAAGAGCAUAAGUGAGAAGAGUGGGAAAGAAGACAUCCUCUUUUAUGACUAAGACAAGUAGUGAAUGCUGGAAGUCCUAGGUCUCAG